AGUUCUGGACCUGGCAAGGGCUUGUUAUGGUGACAAGAGGCAGGGGAGGCAAGGUACAGAUGUAGAAGGCAGACUGCAGGAAAGGGGUGAAGUAAAGGCGAGAUUCAAGCGACUGUUCUAAAAGAUCUCAUCUUUAUGAUACUGAAGCCAUGUCCUGGAGGAGCAAGCUUGAGUGUGCACAGGCCAAGAUGAGACAGGGAUCAAUGAUGAGGUGCCUACCAGAACACUGAAGACGAAGACUGCCUGCCACAAACAGGCUCGAGAAGGUUCCAUGAGGAAAUCAAGAUGCCAAUCGAGAGGAAAGAGAAAGAGGAUGCGUCCGUUGAAUGUUGAAAUGAGUCCCCUGGGAAGAGAGAACCUCAAAUGAGAAAUGCCAAUGCCCCCUUCAGACUGGCCUCCAGGUAAGUCCAUAGGGACAUUUUAUUGAUUGCUGAUUGCUGUGGAUGGGCCCAACUCAAUGUGCAUAGAGCCACCCUUGAGCAUGUUGUCUGGAGUUGUAUAAAAACCAUAGAAAUUAAGACAAUAAGAAACAUUACUUUACAGCCCCUGCUUCUAGGUUCCUGCCUUAACUUCUCUCAACAAUGGGCUAUAACCUACAAGCUGAAAUAGACCCUUGCCUCUCCAU
rnacentral:lncRNA from 1 species